CCUACGUGAGGCAGCAGUGAGGAAUAUUGGUCAAUGGGCGGGAGCCUGACCCAGCCACGCCGCGUGAGGGAAGAAGGUACAGGGUAUCGUAAACCUCUUUUGUCAGGGAACAAAAGCGGGGACUAGUCACCGGAUGAGCGUACCUGAAGAACAAGCAUCGGCUAACUACUGGCCAGAAGCCGCGGUAAUACGGAGGAUGCGCGCGUUAUCCGGAUUUAUUGGGUUGAAAGGCGUCGUAGGCGGCUUUUUAAGUCAGUCGUGAAAGUCGGUGGCUCAACCAUAGAAUUGCCUGUGAAACUGGGGGACUUGAGUGUGUUUGAGGCAGGCGGAAUGCGUGGUGUAGCGGUGAAAUGCUUAGAUAGCACGAGGAACCCCGGUGGCGAAGGCAGCUUGCCAAGCCAUGACUGACGCUGAUGCACGAAAGCGUGGGGAUCAAACAGGAUUAGAUACCCUAGUAGUC
rnacentral:rRNA from 1 species